CAGACAUCUUAUAUCUGUGUUGCCCACAGCGCAGUAACUUUGGCCUGGGUGUAAGAUCAUCCUACCCUUGCUAGUGCCCAGCAUGCCAGUCCUCUGGCAGAGUGUGCUGACCAGCCAGACUGUGGAGGCAGGGCAGUGCCAGCCCCGAGGGAGAGUGCUCAGCACCUGACAAGCCCCUGUCAUGGUGGCCCCAGCGAGACUGGAGUGGCGGGCUGCAGGGACUGCAGUGACCAUGGAGGCAGGGCGGUGACCAUGGCCACAGGGCACAGCCCCGCGACUGUGGCGACUGAGCUGUCUGCACCUCUGCGGUGAGUGCCACUGCAGAGAGAGCCCUUUCAACUCAAGGCAGAACCAGCUAAAACACAUCAGAACUAAAUCGUUUACCCCAACACGAGAAGACAAUGCCUGUAGCUGCAGAUCCACUAGAGACAACACCAUUUCCUGGGACCUGCAGACAACAAAGCAGUCUUCCUCCAGGAUCCUCACCUGACUGAAGACUCCCAAGGCACGUGGGACACUACCCCACAGAGGACAGACUACAGACUUGGGACCUUCCAGCUACAGAUGAACUUUCUUGCUAAAGGCUGCUGAACUUGGAGGAAGUUAUGUGAUAGUAAGGAAAACAUAAUGUCUAUCUAGAUUGAUUAAUUGCUGUUCAAAACUGAUGUUAUUACCCUCAAACUGUACUACCCAUGGAACAAUUGUUUCUAUAAUCCUAUGGGGAACUAGGAAACAUGGCUGCUGGCUCCAACCACCACUGGGAGGGAUGUGUUUUCUGUGUGGCACUAUCCUGCUCCUUUGUGUGGAUCGUUUACUUAUUUAUUUGAUUGCCUACCGUCCUCACCCUCUGGCUUAAUUGUGUUAGUCCUCUGUCCUAUAUGUUUUCUUUUGAUAUUUCCACCCUACCCAAAAUUUU